rnacentral:sRNA from 12 species
CUGCGUUAGGGAUUGUAGUGGCAUCCUUUUUUGUCUUUUUUCAAAAAAGAUAUAACGGAAAGCCCGACCCUUG